rnacentral:lncRNA from 1 species
UAUUUUAUUUUUUUUUUGGGGAUAGUUUUGGAUUUUGGAUGUUAUUUUAAUUUUGUAUUGUUUUCAUAAACUUGUAAUGCUCAAAUUUUUGCGUACAUAAUUGAAAAUGUUAUUAGAUUUUUACGCAAAUUUUUACGUUGAUUUCGUCCGGGGGCCCAAUUUACGGACCUCGCCUCGGGCCUCCAUUAUCACAGGACCGGCCCUG